AUCAACUAUGCUCUGCCUCAUUUCUAGGUGUUUCAGAUUUAAAAGCUUCUCAAGUUGAAGAGCUGCCUCAUUGAAGAGAUCCUCCUUUAUACAGAAAUCUGAAGGAAGAGCAAACAACACUUCAUUCACAUCUUCCUCAAGUUGAAGGGAAAAAAGGUGAUUGAAUACUCCUUUCAUCCUCGCGACAACCAUAUCGUUAACGGUUGGAGA
rnacentral:misc_RNA from 1 species